GGGUAGGAUUUCUAUGAUAUCUAAAGAUCUAUUAGUUGAAUUAAGGUGGAAAUUGGCAUGGUAUUGGAGGACUUAAAGAUCAAGCUACACACCAAUUUUGAAACAAAGUUAACGAUUGGAGAAAGAGAAAUCAUUGUUGGGAUUUCUACUUCACUUUUAAAGUUGGCGGCUCAGUGAAAUUGGUGCAAUUUUUGGAGGUUUUUUCACAAUCUAUUAUAUUCUUCUCGCAUGGGUGAAACCUAUUAGGAUUUCUUGGCUACUUGUGAAACAUAAUUUCACCUUCCACAGCUAAGUGCCUAGUACAUUUGUAAGCAAAACAACACGUAAUAUGAUAUAAGUGGUGAACCCAACGUGAAAGUUUGGGGUGGAAGGUAUCGGAUUAUAUUUGUAGUUAUUUGAAAUUGAUGGCGUAAGAAGGCAAAAAGAUUGAAUUUGGACUGUUUGAUGGAGCUUUGGGUGGAGCUUCAAGUGAAAUUUCUACUGGUGAAUAAGAUAUGUACCUUGACCCAAACACUGCAAAAAUAUUUUAAGCAUUUACAUUAUUUAUGCAACAGCAACAAUGCAAUGAUCGCAAAGAGGCUUUGGCAACCAAAGUAUUACAAGCAGUGGUUAAUAAGGUUGACCAAUUUGAUGAGAGGAAUAUUUCCAAAUAUUUAAGAUGUUAUGUGUGGAAAAUAGAAUUGAAUAGCGUUUCUGAGAAGGAGAUAAUUCAAUUAUUUGAGCUUGCUAUGGUACCAGAGAUAAGAGAGCAUAUAAGGUCUAUUAUGGGAUAAUUUGGAAGUUCAUGGGUGGUAUUUUUACAUGCAUUGAAGGAUGAGUAUUUUUUGGAGGAUAUUGAUCGAGUUACUAAGAAAUCAUUCUCGGAAUGGAUUGAGCGACCUAACAAAAAUUUACAAGCUACAAAAUUAUUAAGAGAAUUUGGAAGGUAAUUUUCCCAAUUAUCAAAAAUGGAAAAGUUAAUAUUGGAUCAAAAUAAGGUUGAAUUGUUUCUCCAAGCUGCUAAUGAAAAAUUACAAGAGAAGUUAGAGGUUCUUCUUGAAGAUAAGGAAGAAGAAGAAGGAUUGACAACAAAGUGCAGAGUUGUUGAAGAUGCUAUUACAUUACUUACAAAAAAAAGAAAGGAGAAAGAAUAGGUUUAGUACUCAAAGAGUGGUACAAGUACCAAAGACUCCAAUGCCUACUACAAGAUUGAUUGUGCCUAUUAUCCAACCUCUAUUAGCUACAUCAAAGAAAGAAGAUAUGGGACUUGAGGAGAUUGUACGAGGGAUGCGAGAUCUUCAAAUCAAACUUGCAAGGCUUGAAAAAAAGACUUCUACAAUACGUUCAAAGACUACUUUUAAACAAAGGUAUGUGCAAAGAUGUAUUUGGUGUGAUGAUGAUUCUCAUUCUCAAAAAGAUUGUGGUGAAUUUGAUGAGAUGGUUCAAUAAGUCAUUGUUUAUUGGAAAGAUGGGAAGGUUGCAUUGAAAGAUACUGGUGAUCUUUUCCAAACCAACUUUGGUAAAAGAAGCAUGAAAGCAUUCGUUAAAGAUUAUUUGACAAUAUAUGGAAUUGCAGCAAUAGAAGCUACAAGUUAUGGAACUAGGGUGGAUAAUGAUGGCAAAUAAAAUUUUUUUGGAAAUGUUCAAUGAAGUGGACUUUGGUCUUUUGCUAUUUCUACAAUGCAAAAAGAGAAGAUACCACAAGAAGCUUUAUUGAGAACUGCUGCAACAAUUCGUGGUGCUGCGGGUUGGAAGGAUCCUAUAGAAGCUUUAUUAGUACAUGCAUAUAUUACUAAAAGCCAACAUGAAGCUUUAAUGGAAGAAAAGAGGAGAAGAAAUUUUGAUGAUUUAAGAAAAGAAAAUUCUUCUAAAAGGCAAACUCGAGGAGAUAAGGCUCAUACAUCAGCUUCACAAGAAUUAUCCACAAAAGAUACUUCAACAAUAUCGGAAGAAAAAGCAAAGGAAAUAAAAAAUAAAGGUAAAUUAACAACUUAUAAAUUACUCUCUGAUAUUGAAGUGGCAACAAAUUUAAAGGGAGUGCUGAAAGAACGUGUGUUCAAUGCUAAGGUUGAGUUUACAUUGAAAGAAAUUUUAGAAAUUGCCAAGAAAGAAUUUCAUGAUAUCAUUAUUGACAAUAUUAAAUAAAAGAGGCAAUUAAUGGAAGAAGUUGGAUUAAAUCAUACUAUUGAUGCACACAUAUAUGAAGGUGAAGAAGAUGUAUUUGAUAAUUAUUACAAAAAAUCAACAAGUGAAGGGAGGAGUCACAAUCAAAGGGUAUAUUUUGAUGACCAAGGUAAUAAAGAUAGAGAGAUUUUAAGUCAUUAUAUUCGAAAGCAUUGGACUAUAGUAACUACAGAGACAUUAAUGAAGAUUGGAGAUAUGGAUGAACCGGUUGUUGCUUUGAUUGACCAUGGUUCAGAGAUAAACCUUAUGUCUAAAGAUCUUUAUAUGAAGCAAAAGUGGUCAAUUGACAUAGAGCAUGGAUGGACAAUAUGGACAGCCAAUAAUAUAUGUGCUUCCUCGGAUGUAAAAAUUUGGAUUAGUGAUGUUGCAAUAGAGCAAAAAAAAUUUAUUCAAGAUGCAACAUCUUAUCCUCUUAUUUUGGGACAACCAUAUAUUAUUGCAACUCGGAUGGAAAUAAAGGUACUUGAUGAUGGUUCAGCUUAUGCACAAAUUUGUAGUGAGGAUGGGAGGAGAGGAGUACAAUUUUUGAAUGUGCCUCCAAAUCAUGAAUGGAAUCAAGACAAAUUGAGAGAAAAUCCAUUGCCAAGGGUUGUUGAAGAAUUCAAGGAUUUUUUGGGGGUACCACUAUAAAGCAAGAUUGUAGAGGUAUAGAAAGAGAGGUACUCUCAUUAGAUGUAGGUGCCUUUAGUGGAGGAUUUAUUAGCAUUUUUGAAAAUGGAAGCAUUAUGUAUAAGAAGAUUGAUGAAUUAAAAAGAAAAGAAAGAAAAGAAUUAAGUAUUAUUGAAAGAGAAUUAUAUAAGUUAAGAAUAUUAAAAGAUAAUAAAAAGAUUAUUGAUAUUUAUGAAAAAAAUAGAUUGGAUGAUCCUUUGGAAUUGAUUGUGUCUAUUGGAUUAGGUAAUGAUGAUAAAGUUAUACCAAUUCAUUCAAGAGAAUUUUGUAAUAUGAUUGAAUAUUUUCAAGCAUUGGAGAUUAUAGUUGAGACAAAAUAUAAGACAUUAGAUAAGAAAGUUAAAUCGAUUGCCGGACCUUUGCUAAGAGAUUUUUAAGAACAAAUGGAAGAAGCAUCAAGAGAAAGGAGCUUCAGAGAUCCAAAGAAUAUUGGUCACAAGUUUAUUAAAGAGACUUUUGAAGAAUUGAAGAUUAUUUUUUAUGGUUCUUUAUUGCCAAAAGAAAUUAACUGCUUCAAAGAGAUGUUGGCAAAACAAGGUAGAUCAUUUGCCUUUGAAUCUUAUGAAAUUAGAUAUGUGGAUCCAAAUAUUGUAACACCUAUAGUUAUUUUCACUAUACCACAUGUACCUUGGAAUCUAAGGCCAAUUCCAGUACCAAGGGCACAUUUACCAAGCUUGGUGGAAUUAUUAAAAGAAAAGAUGAAGAUGAAGAUUAUGGAGCCCUCUUUUGUACCAUAUUCUAGUCGAUGGUUUACAAUACCUAAGAAAAAUGGAUCAUUACGUUUCAUUCAAGAUAUGCAAUCAGUGAAUGCAGUAACUAUCAAGAAUGCAGGAAUUAGGCCUAUAGUAGAUGAAUUUAUUGAGGCAUUUGUAGGAAGGGUAAUCUAUUCAAUAGUUGAUUUAUAUUCGGACUAUGACCAAUUUCACUUGCAGAAGGAACUAGAGAUAUGACAAUGAUGAGAACACCACUUAGAUUAGUUUGAAUGUGUAUUCUUUCUCAAGGUGCAACCAACUCAGUUACACAUAUGAUGAAUGGGAUGAAUAAGAUAUUGAAAGAUUUUAUUCCAGAAAAGACUAUGCCUUUUCUAGAUGAUGUUCCUAUAAAGGGGUGCAAAGAAGAAGACAAAGAUGAAACUUUAGAUAAAAGGGGGUAUCGCAAGUAUGUUGUUGAUCAUAUAUAAGAUUAUAAAAAAAUAUUGACUCGGCUUGGAGAAGUUCAUCUUACAUUAUCGGGUGCAAAAUCUACAUUUGGAGUACAAGAGGUUGUAAUUAUUGGACAUCUGUGUGGAUUUUAUGGAAAAAAACUAGAUCCAACUAAGGUUGAUACAAUAAAGAGAAUGAAAGAGGAUUGUAGUUCUUUAACAGAGGUUCGUAGGUUAUUAGGUGCAUGUAUAUUUUAUCAUAUUUUGAUUUUUUAAUAUGCACACAUAGCAGAUCUAUUAUAUGAACUAUUACGCAAGGACUAUCAAUUUAAAUGGGAAGAAAAGCAUGUUAAAGCAGUACAAAGAUUGAAGAAAUUAUUGAUAUCGCCUCAAAUGUUGAGAAAAAUUGAUUAUAAGAGCAAUAGAUUAGUGAUUCUUACUGUGGAUAUUAGUCCGAUUGCCAUUAGAUAAGAUGUUUUUUGAAGAGCUUUAUGAACGAGAAUUACUAAAAAUUGGUCUUUAUUUGAAUACCUUGACUAAACAAGAGAAUUGGUCAAUAGAAAAAUUUAAUCAAAUAAGAAAGAAGGCUUAUGGAUUUUUGCUUCAAGAAUGGUUUUUAUGGAAGAGACCAAAGAAAGGAAUUGGAAUGCGAAGACAAGUAGUAGGUACUAAAGAAGAUCAACAAAGACUACUCAAAGAGUUUCAUGAGAAUCUAUGGGCGGGACAUAGAGAAAUUUGGCCUACUUUUGCUAAAAUGAAGGAACAAUAUUAGUAGAAGAAUAUGUAUCAAGAUAUAACUUUGUUUAUAGAGUCUUGUAUAACUUGUCAGAUAUAUUCAAAUAUACGACAUCGAGAUGGGUUACAUCUGACAUAUUCUUUGGCUAUUCAUUUUAAAUGGAUUGUGGAUUUGGUUAUUAUGCUGAUGGGACUAUGCCAAAUGAGAUAUUUAGUUUUGGCUCGUGAAGAUUUAUCAAACCAAGUAGAAGGUAGGGUACUAAGAACAAAGUCCAUAGAGGAAAUUUGUAGGUUUUUACUUGAGAAAGUUAUUUGUCACUAUAAAUGUGUGGAAAAGAUCACUACAGAUUGAAGAGAAUUGAAUGCACAUAAAGCUCAUGGUUUUUUUAAGAGAUGUGAGAUCAAAUUAUCAUUGACUACUACUUAUAAUCCAAAGGGGAAUGCAAAAAGUGAACGUGGGCAUCCACCAAUUGUAAAAGCCUUAGUUAAAGCUUCCAAUGGAAGAGUGAGAGAAUCGCCUUGACUUCUACCUUAUGCAUUAUGGGCUGAUCGAACAACACAUAGUUUGGUGACAAGCUAUAUGCCAGUGGAACUUAUGACAUGUCAAAAACCAAUUAUGCCGAUUAAAAAAAAUGUGCCAACUUGGAGUAUGCUACCAUGAGAAGAUGGAUUGACAAGAGAGGAAUUGUUAGUCAUUAGAAUCUGGCAACUUGAACAAAGAUCGAAAGAUGUGAAAUUAGCAUUAAAAAAGUUAUAAAAGGCAAGAUUAGGAAAUAAGACUUGAUUUGACAAGCAACAUUGAUUGAAACCUAGAGCAAUUGAAGAAGGUGAUUGAGUACUUGUUUAUGAUAGUAGUCUGGAUAACCAACAUAGUACUUUGUGAAAGUUUUUGACACGUUGGUUUGGACCAUAUGUAGAAGUAAUGGUUCAUGAUAAUGCCACAUAUUCAUUAAGAGAGUUAGAUGGUAUGAGGUUGAAAAUACCUAUUGCUAGAAAGUGAGUGAAGAUUUUUACAAGACAAGAUAAAAAAAUCAAUAUGAAAGAUCAUGCUGAAGAUAUUGAAAUUUUUGAAGAAGAAAAUUGUUUUGAAGAGGAUGGUCAAAAUACAAAUGAAGGAUUUGAUGAAGAAAAUGAAGAGAUGGUGUGAUGCCAAUUAUGACAUAUGGUUCAUUUGGUACAUGCCGGAGGAUGCGCAAGUUAAGAGAGGGUGGAUGUAGUGAUGUAAUGCGAGUAAAUAGUGAAAUUAUAAUCAAAAUUGAAUUUCUAAUUAAUAUCUAAUUAUCUUAGUAUAAUUAUAAUUUGAGGUAUCUAAACAUGGCUUUUAUAAAAGCCUCUUAGGUUAUUUUCGUAUUUUAAUAAUUAGUAGGUUGAAGGUUAGUUAAUAAUUUUACCUUCUAGGUUAUAAAGACUCUUCUACUACCUUAGAAAGACCAUAAAUUGAUGAAAUCAGAUUAAAAGAGAUAAACAAUUAGUAUAGUUGGUACUAGGGUUAAGUUGAGAGUAGAAUUGGGCUAAAAAAAUCCUUGGGAUAUGAUAGAUUGAUACCCAAGGGUUGACCGUUUGUGAGGCAAGGUCGAAAUCAAACCUCUGGCCACUAAAAUAAUGGCCUAAGGCAAAAUAGGGUUUCAUUCAAAGAUCGGAGGUUAAGGUUUGAGAGCUAACUUGAAGUUCAUUCUAGAGACAUAAGAAUUUUUUGAGAGGAUUUUGAGAGACUUAGCAAUUGUUGUUCAAAGUCAAGGUUUGUAUCAGUUAUUUGGAUUUUAUAUAAUAUAAUUAGGGCUAGCAAUUUUGGCUAUUUUGUGCAAUUGGCAUAACAUCUACGGUUGAAAAUUUGAAAUUAUUUGGAUUAUUGGGUGUGCUAAGUAUAUACAAUUUUUUUUCAUAAUCUAAUAAUGUGGUUUAGAGAUAUCUAAUUUUUAGCACAAGAGGGUUUCAAAAGGUGGCAAUUUGAGGUUGGGUAGGAUUUCUAUGAUAUCUAAAGAUCUAUUAGUUGAAUUAAGGUGGAAAUUGGCAUGGUGUUGGAAGACUUAAAGAUCAAGCUACACACCAAUUUUAAAACAAAGUUAACGAUUGGAGAAGGAGAAAUCAUUGUUGGGAUUUCUGCUUCACUUUUAAAGUUGGCGGCUCAGUGAAAUUGGUGCAAUUUUUGGAGGUUUUUUCA
rnacentral:lncRNA from 1 species